rnacentral:rRNA from 1 species
UACGUAGGGGGCAAGCGUUGUCCGGAAUCAUUGGGCGUAAAGCGCGUGUAGGCGGUCCGGUAAGUCCGCUGUGAAAGUCGGGGGCUCAACCCUGGAAUGCCGGUGGAAACUGUCGGGCUAGAGUCCGGAAGAGGCGAGUGGAAUUCCUGGUGUAGCGGUGAAAUGCGCAGAUAUCAGGAAGAACACCAAUGGCGAAAGCAGCUCUCUGGGACGGUACUGACGCUGAGACGCGAAAGCGUGGGGAGCGAACAGG